rnacentral:misc_RNA from 1 species
AGUCGUAACAAGGUAUCCGUAGGUGAACCUGCGGAUGGAUCAUUAUAGGAUGUUGGGUGAUUGUGAGUGGUUUUAUUAUUAGUAGUUUGAGCGGUGUUGGUUGGGGUGCGAAGCAGGAUUGCGAAGCAGGAUUGCCAAGCAGGAUUGCCAAGCAAGACAGCCAACAUCGCCUCACCUUAAACUCUAUAAAUCUAACAAUUGCAUACAAAAAAAACAACUUUUAGCAACGGAUCUCUGGGCUCUC